GAUGAAGAACGUAGCGAAAUGCGAUAAGUAGUGUGAAUUGCAGAAUUCAGUGAAUCAUCGAAUCUUUGAACGCACAUUGCGCCCCUUGGUAUUCCAUGGGGCAUGCCUGUUCGAGCGUCAUUUGUACCUUCAAGCUCUGCUUGGUGUUGGGUGUUUGUCUCGCCUCUGCGCGUAGACUCGCCUCAAAACAAUUGGCAGCCGGCGUAUUGAUUUCGGAGCGCAGUACAUCUCGCGCUUUGCACUCAUAACGACGACGUCCAAAAGUACAUCUUUACACUCUUGACCUCGGAUCAGGUAGGGAUACCCGCUGAACUUAAGCAUAUCAAUAAGCGGAGGA
rnacentral:misc_RNA from 1 species